UCUCGAAAGCCGGUCUCAGUUCGGAUUGGAGUCUGCAACUCGACUCUAUGAAGCUGGAAUCGCUAGUAAUCGCGCAUCAGCCAUGGCGCGGUGAAUACGUUCCCGGGCCUUGUACACACCGCCCGUCAAGCCAUGGAAGCUGGGGGUACCUGAAGUCGGUGACCGUAAAAGGAGCUGCCUAGGGUAAAACUAGUAACUAGGGCUAAGUCGUAACAAGGUAGCCGUACCGGAAGGUGCGGCUGGAACAUCUCAUUUUAGAGACUCGUUUGGAGUAUAAACAAAAUUAAGAAAGCUUACUUAAAGUAGCUUUGGUUUUUUUACUGGUUGGUAUAUAAAAGAAAUAACCCCUAAGAUUAGUAUCAGGGAUAAGAAAGAGAUUAGAAACUAGAAGUUGGAAGUUAGAAAAAGGAUGCAAGUCUAAAUUCUAACAAUCUAAACUCUGACAUCUAAGACAGUCUCGUAGCUCAGCUGGUUAGAGCGCUACACUGAUAAUGUAGAGGUCGGCAGUUCGAGCCUGCCCGAGACUACUAAUUUAAGAUAGAGGGGGAAUUAGCUCAGCUGGCUAGAGCGCCUGCCUUGCACGCAGGAGGUCAAGGGGUUCGACUCCCUUAUUCUCCACAAGGGUUAGAUAUUUAAUUUAAAAGUGACGGA
rnacentral:misc_RNA from 1 species